AAUAAAAAAGACACCGGUUUGAACCGGUGCCAGUUGAACCGGUGCCCUUGUUAGAUUAAAAAAAAAAAACCAGUCAAGCUUUAUCCUUAGCUGUCCUUUAUAUUCCUAACCCUAAAUGAGAACUCAGCUUCAUUCUCUCUUAUUAUUAGCUGCCUCUCUCUUCUCUCUCCUCUCUGUCAUCCUUCAUUCUCGAUCUCUCCGACCACAACGAAACCUCAGAUCUCUUCUCUAUUGUCCUCCUUCUCUGUCCAAUCUCACUCUCCUCUUCUUUCCCCCCUCUUCUCCGACCUUUCUUCUCCCUUUUGUCUUCUGCCCACCACCGCUACUAACCACCGCCGCCACCUACAUGUUUCUGGGUUUAUUAUUCGAGGUGUUAAUUGAUGCACAAGGAUUCAAGACUUUGAUUUUGGAAUAUUGUUUUUGAUGUUGUAAUUUUUUAUUUGUAUUUUUCAAUAUCAAUUUAACGUUGAAUUUUAUUGUAUGAUUAUAAUUCAUUGUAUUUUUUUUAUAUUUUUUUUGUAUUGUACAAUAACAGUUUAAUAUAUUGUUAUAUUUCAUUGUC